GAUAGUUUAAAACUAGAUAGUAUUUCAUACCCUAGAUAGAGAUUAAUUCUUUUUUGGACAAGAAAUUGUCGAUUACAUUGAGAAAAUAUGAACCCAAACGUUAAUAUCUAUUUGUUUGUUGGGAGCCACCACAACAAGAACAAUCAAAUUGCAAUACAUAUGGGGCAAUCUAGACACUAGAUCCUAUGGCUUCUAUAUGAGAAUCAUAAAAGAGAAUCAGUGUAUGUCAAAAGAUAGGAAGUUCAUUACAUUGCCAACAUAGAGGAAAGGAAAAUUGUUAAUGGGAAACAAUAUACCAUUAUGUCUCUAUGGGGCUUUCCAAGGGAAAAGUAGAAACUCACUCGCUAGUCCUUGUUAAAAUUAUUUUAAGGUAGUGAGAUAUUACAUGUCACAUAACAAAUGUAGUUGAGAACAUCGUGAAGUUAUCACAAAAAAUCCAUGUGAUGCUACCACAGAUCUACAGAGAAGUAAACACACUAGCAUAUUACAUUGUCAAUCAUGCCCUUGAUAAAAAAGAAAUAAUCAUUUUUACUACAUUUAUAUCAUUACCAAAUAAACCAGAGAUAUUUUGAAUUUUCUCAAGCAACAAAUGACCAACAAAAGGAUAAAAACUAAAAAUAUAAAUCAUAUUAGGGAAGGGGAGGAACACAUCAUCAUAAGACUACGAGUACAAUUUUUUUUUAUUUUCUUGAAUGGUCAUACACCACAAGGACAGGACAACGCACAAAUACAAAGGUGAAGGAUUUAACAAAAUACCAACAUCAAAUACACAAGUGAACGAUUGAGCUAAUGCUUCAAGACAAAUUCAACCUACAAUGUCAUUGAUAUUAAAUAAGUUAUGGGGAGUGAGUAAAUCAAGCUAGAUCGGUACCAGAGAAGAACAAUGAUGAGUUAUAUCAUUCGCACAAAAGGCUCUCAGAUAUAUGAGACCCAAAAGGGGAACACUGUUAGAGCAAUCACCGCAUAGAUAGACAAAAAAAUCAAGAUAGAAAAUCUUUACUGUUUCGAAACAUAAAAGUUUUCUCAAAGCUGCUACAACAUUUCCUACAUCAUCAAAGUCAACUUAGUAAUGAUGAGUAGAAGGAAGAAUAUGCAGAGGAACACAAGGAAAUACUCACAAACUAGAAAAAGGAGCUCAACUCCUUGACCAUCAUAGCAGAUCCAGAGCUUUCAUAGGAGCACAUAGGUUUGAGUCAAAUAAAUAACCCUUUGUUUGCAGAUGUGACACUGGUGUGAACAAAUGAG
rnacentral:lncRNA from 1 species